UUGUUUUUGACAGCUGCCCCAAACUCCACCGUCCCUACUCAAGCGGCGGAAGACAGCCGCUUCUGACUCAAGGGGCGGGGCACGAGAGGAAAAGUAUUCGGGACAAGAACCAACUUCUUUCAGAAUGCGCGGCUGCCAUUGACACGCGGGCGCGGCGCGGCGCACCCUUCUCCCGGGACUCUUCCUCUAGCGACAGAGAGAGGACUUAAAAAGAAUCAAUGAGGGGAAAAGCGUCACUCUAAGAAGGCACACACAGUUCCAUUUGUUGUGUUAUCUUCUGAAGCUGCCUCAAGGCCAAGCAAAGAAAUAAAUAGCUUCCUUAUAAAGUUACUGUUCA
rnacentral:lncRNA from 1 species